CAAACGACUCUCGGCAACGGAUAUCUCGGCUCACGCAUCGAUAAAGAACGUAGCAAAAUGCGAUACUUGGUGUGAAUUGCAGAAUCCCGUGAACCAUCGAGUUUUUGAACGCAAGUUGCGCCCAAAGCCAUCCGGCCGAGGGCACGCCUGCCUGGGCGUCACGC
rnacentral:rRNA from 1 species